GUAUAUGACGAGAGAAACGCUGUGCACCAGUCUGAAAUGUACUAAAUAUAUGUACUCUAGUACACUGAAGCAUUAAGUAUACCCAAAUUUCUGAU